rnacentral:rRNA from 1 species
GACGAACGCUGGCGGCGUGCUUAACACAUGCAAGUCGAACGGAAAGAGAUGAAAGAGCUUGCUCUUUUAUUAAUUUCAGUGGCAAACGGGUGAGUAACACGUAAACAACCUGCCUUAAGGAUGGGGAUAACAGACGGAAACGACUGCUAAUACCGAAUACGUUCUAAGCAUCGCAUGGUGCAUAGAAGAAAGGGUGGCCUCUACAAGAAAGCUAUCGCCUUAAGAGGGGUUUGCGACUGAUUAGGUAGUUGGUGAGGUAACGGCUCACCAAGCCGACGAUCAGUAGCCGGUCUGAGAGGAUGAACGGCCACACUGGAACUGAGACACGGUCCAGACUCCUACGGGAGGCAGCAGUGGGGAAUCUUCCGCAAUGGACGAAAGUCUGACGGAGCAACGCCGCGUGAACGAAGAAGGUCUUCGGAUUGUAAAGUUCUGUGAUUCGGGACGAAAGGGUUUGUGGUGAAUAAUCAUAGACAUUGACGUACCAAAGAAGCAAGCCACGCA